rnacentral:rRNA from 1 species
GAACGCUAGCGGCAGGCCUAACACAUGCAAGUCGAGCGGUAGGGGACUUCGGUCCUGAGAGCGGCGCACGGGUGCGUAACGCGUAUGCAACCUACCCUUUACAGGGGAAUAGCCCGUCGAAAGGCGGAUUAAUGCCCCAUGGCUCCUUCGAGAGGCAUCUCUUGGAGGGUAAAGAUUCAUCGGUAAAGGAUGGGCAUGCGUGCCAUUAGCUGGAUGGUGGGGUAACGGCCCACCAUGGCGACGAUGGCUAGGGGUUCUGAGAGGAAGGCCCCCCACACUGGGACUGAGACACGGCCCAGACUCCUACGGGAGGCAGCAGUGAGGAAUACUGGUCAAUGGGCGGAAGCCUGAACCAGCCAUGCCGCGUGCGGGAAGAAGGCGCUACGCGUCGUAAACCGCUUUUGUCCGGGGGUAACCGCGGGGACGUGUCCCUGCCUGCAAGUACCGGACGAAUAAGGGUCGGCUAACUCCGUGCCAGCAGCCGCGGUAAUACGGAGGACCCGAGCGUUAUCCGGAUUCAUUGGGUUUAAAGGGUGCGUAGGCGGCCCGGUAAGUCAGCGGUGAAAGGCUCCUGCUCCACAGGAGAGCUGCCGUUGAUACUGCUGGGCUAGAAUCUUAGCGAGGCGGGCGGAAUGCGCGGUGUAGCGGUGAAAUGCAUAGAUAUCGCGCAGAACGCCGAUUGGGGAGCCAGCUCGCCAGCUGAGUAUUGACGCUGAGGCACGAAAGCGUGGGGAUCGAACAGGAUUAGAUACCCUGGUAGUCCACGCCGUAAACGAUGAUGGCUCGCUCUUGGCCCGCAAGGGUCAGGGGCUUAGCGAAAGCGUUAAGCCAUCCACCUGGGGAGUACGCCGGCAACGGUGAAACUCAAAGGAAUUGACGG